ensembl:lncRNA
UGUAAAUAAUGUUUACUAGGAGGUGAAUCUUUAUCUACGUAACGUCUUUAGAAGGAUUAUGAUCUAUGUAGGAUCACCUAUCAAAACUGGAAUAUACAGAUUUAUGGCUCCCCAGAAAAUCUCACGUAAGCUAUGUCCUUUCUAAGUUGAAAAGGAAGAUUCUUGGCAUCCAACACAAACCCGAAGAACAGAACUUGUGAAGGGCAGAACCCAGAGAAGCCCUGAGGAUCUCGGUGGCAGGAACUGAUGACUUCUAAAACAGAUCGAUCAGAUCCAACAGUUCUUUGCACUUGCAUCACUUUUCUCAAAGUCCUAAGAGGAGAAAUCUAACUGGUCUAGUCUGAACUUUGUGCCUUCUCCAAUUUUCUGUAGAAAGACUUGAUCAACAAUUUCAUCACGUCUCCUCAAGUGGAAAAGAUAUAAUUUCUCUAAAGUGGGCCAGAGUUUUUGUAGUGGAAGAAAGGAUGAGAACACUGCAAGGUGCCUCUGCUGCCCAUUGGACUUCCCUGGUGGCUCAGACGGUAAAGUGUCUGUCUACAAUGUGAGAGACCCGGGUUCGCUUCCUGGGUCUAGAAGAUCCCUUGGAGAAGGAAAUGGCAACCAAUCCAGUACUCUUGCCUGGAAAAUCCCAUGGAUGGAGGAUCCUGGCGGAUUUCUUAGCACUCGUGCCACCUGGGAAGCCCCUCACAGAGACUGCUGCUGCUGCUAAGUCACUUCAGUAGUGUCCGACUCUGUGCGACCCCAUAGACGGCAGCCCACCAGGCUCCCCGGUCCCCGGGAUUCUCCAGGCAAGAACACUGGAGUGGGUUGCCAUUUCCUUCUCCAAUGCAUGAAAGUGAAAAGAGAAAGUGAAGUCGCUCAGUCGUGUCCGACUGUUCGUGACCCCACGGACUGCAGCCUAUCAGGCUCC